UGAUGGGAUGAUACUAGCACUAAUGCACCGAAUCCCAUAAAAACUCUUCAGUUAAGUGUGUUAGGGCGAGAUAAUAUUAAGAUAAGUGACUUUCCGAAGAAAUCCUUGUGUUGCAUCUC